rnacentral:rRNA from 1 species
CAGUCGAACGAUGAUGCCCAGCUUGCUGGGUGGAUUAGUGGCGAACGGGUGAGUAACACGUGAGUAACCUGCCCCUGACUCUGGGAUAAGCGUUGGAAACGACGUCUAAUACUGGAUAUGAUCACUGGCCGCAUGGUCUGGUGGUGGAAAGAUUUUUUGGUUGGGGAUGGACUCGCGGCCUAUCAGCUUGUUGGUGAGGUAAUGGCUCACCAAGGCGACGACGGGUAGCCGGCCUGAGAGGGUGACCGGCCACACUGGGACUGAGACACGGCCCAGACUCCUACGGGAGGCAGCAGUGGGGAAUAUUGCACAAUGGGCGAAAGCCUGAUGCAGCAACGCCGCGUGAGGGAUGACGGCCUUCGGGUUGUAAACCUCUUUUAGUAGGGAAGAAGCGAAAGUGACGGUACCUGCAGAAAAAGCACCGGCUAACUACGUGCCAGCAGCCGCGGUAAUACGUAGGGUGCAAGCGUUGUCCGGAAUUAUUGGGCGUAAAGAGCUCGUAGGCGGUUUGUCGCGUCUGCUGUGAAAUCCCGAGGCUCAACCUCGGGCUUGCAGUGGGUACGGGCAGACUAGAGUGCGGUAGGGGAGAUUGGAAUUCCUGGUGUAGCGGUGGAAUGCGCAGAUAUCAGGAGGAACACCGAUGGCGAAGGCAGAUCUCUGGGCCGUAACUGACGCUGAGGAGCGAAAGCAUGGGGAGCGAACAGGAUUAGAUACCCUGGUAGUCCAUGCCG